rnacentral:rRNA from 1 species
GUUAGGCUGGUAGCAGCCCCUGGCAUGCCGGGAUUGGGUCUUCUCUGAAUUGGGUGCAGACCAAAGCGGGUGGUAGAUUCCAUCUAAGGCUAUGUAUGAGCAUGAGACCAAUAGCAGACAAGUACCAUAAGGAAAUGUUGAAAAGUACUUUAAAGAUGGUAUGAAACCAUUGAGAGGUAAACGGGUGAGUUCCGUUCAGUCUGGCUAGAGGAUUCAACACGGUGGGCAGGUUGGUAACCCGGAACACAGGAUCACCUUGUGGCACCACCACCCAGGCACAUCCAUCACCCACAGGGCUCAUUUCACAUAUGGCCGUACACUGCGACUGGCUCUUGGUCACCUGGGAAUGCCUCAUGGGGCAGGUGGCUCUCCACUCCAUCCAGGAGUGUUGCAGCCCCAUGGCUGCAGUUUCACCAUGGCCAUGUAGCCAAGGGAGAUUGAACUCUGGUGCGCCCACUUCUGGCAACUAUCUUGGCAACUCUUGGGGGUCACCAGGGCAAAGACAGGGGAUGGGCCCUCAGCUCCCGGUGUGACUGUGGACUGGGGUGGGUUGUCCUCAGUGUGCCCCGACCACAUCACACCACCGGGUAGGCAGGCCAACAAAGGGUGCCAAGUGUCUGCUGUGAUGCAGGUUACCCAACCAAUCUUGAAACACAAACCAAGUAGUCUUUAACAUGUGCAAGUUGGAGAGCAAAACAAAAUCCUGUGGCACAAUAAGAGUUAAUGCUGGCACACACCAGCUGAGUUGGGGUCCCGUUGCACCGUGCACACACCACGACACCUCUCGGCCUGUUGGUAAGGUGGAGCAUGAGCGUGUGUGAUACGAUCCAAAAGAUGGUAAACUAUUCAUGAGAAGGGCAAAGCCAGAGGGAUCUCUGGUGGACGUCUGUAGCGGUCCUGAUAUGCAAAUCGGUCAUCAGACCGGUGUAUAGAAGUGGAAGGCCAAUCAAACCAUAUAGUGGCUGGCUCCCGCGGAAGAUUCCCUCAGGAUAGCUGGUGCUCUGAUCUCCCAUUUUUAUCUGGUGAAGCAAAUGAUUAAAGGUUUUAGUGCCAAGCGAUCACAACCUAUUCUCAAACUUUAUAUGGGUUAGGAGCCUGUCUCGCUGGCAUGAAACAGGCAUCGAAUGCCAGUUCUCAGUGGGCCAGUUUUGGUAUUCAGAACUGAUGCUCCAGGAUGAACCAAACACCAGGUUAAGGCCCACACUGCCAAAGCACAUCAAAAAGGUGGUGGUUGAUAUAGACAGCAGAACUGUGGCCAUGGAAGUCAGAAUCUGCUAGGGAGUGUGUAACAACUCACCUGCUGAAUCAACUAGCCCUUGCAAUAGAUGGUGCUGAAGCAUCUAGCUCAAAUCUAGCCACUGCUGGCACUGAGAGCUACAGGGGCUCUGCUGCAAUGAUUAGGAGUGCUGCUGCAGUGGGUACAGUAGCCCGGGUUGAGUGUCCGGGUAGAGUCACCACAGGUGCAGAUCUUGGUGGUAAUAGCGAAUAUUCAAACAAUAACUUUGAAGGCUGUAAUGGAGGAGGAUAACAUGUGAACAGCUGUUGAACAUGGGUCAGUUGUUCCUAAGAGAUGGGUGAGUACCAUUCGGAAGGGGCAGGCAAUGGCCGCUGUUGUCUUCAGCCGAUUGAAAGCGAGUUGGGUUCAAAUCCCCUAACCCAGAGUGGGGGAGACAUGAGCCCUUGCAGCAUCCAUUGCAGUAAAGCAAAACCUCUUGGGAAAUCUGGAGUAUGCCUAUUUUCUUUGUGAAGGCUAGGCCACCGUGGAAUGGGUUUGCCACAAGAGGGGUGCCCAAGCUUUGGCAAGUAUUGCGGUUUGGGUGACAUAUGGUGAGCUCUCGCUGGCACUUGGUAAUCCAGGCGAGAUGGUGAAAAUCUCAUGCUGGCCCAUACCCAUAUUUGCAGCAGGGCUCCAAGGUGAACAACCUCUGGCAUGUUGGUACAAAGUAGGAAAGGGAAAUCGGAAAGAUAGAUCUUUAAUUUUAAAUGAGAACUGGCUCUAAGACUGGGUGGGUCAGGCUGGUGCACAUCAGAGGAUUCACAACGGCUGGCUGAGACAUCUCCACCCCCAGGGGCCUGCCUACACUGGACGCAAGCUGGACCCUUCCUGUGGAUCACCCCAGCUGGAGUGGUGGCCUCUCUCCAUUCCCCUGCCAUCGUUUGGGCCGGAGUUCUUGCUAGCAGCUGACUUCACAAUGGUGUGGACCAGGGAAAUACAACAAUUUAAUGGAAAUAAAGCAUCACAAAGGCUGACAGCAGGUGUUCAAUGUUAAAGGGAAGAAAUUCAAUGCAGCGUUGGUAAAUGGCAGGAGUAACUAUGACUAUCUUUAGGUGGCAAAAUUCCACAUCAUCGCAUUGGUGGCAUGAAUGCAUGGAUGAACAGGAUUCCCACUGUCCCUACCUACUAUCCAAUAAGCCACAACCAAGGGAACAGACUUGGCAGAAUCAGCUGGGAUAGGAGACCCUGUUGACUUUGACUCUAGUGUGGCACUGUGAAGAGAGGCAUAGGAUAAGUGAUAGGCUCUGGGGCCAGAGGUGAAAUUCGAGUACUGUUGUCAUUAUUUCACUUACCCAGUUAGGCAAGCCCUAUGGAGCUGUCACUUCUAUCUACAAGCAUCCUGCUCCAACCAGGCAUGACCCGAUCCAGGGACAUUGUCAGGUGACGAGCUUGACUUGGGCAGUACAUCUGUGCUGCUCUAAUGCAGGUGUCCAAAUGCAAGCUCAGGGAGGACAGGAACAUCCCGCAGAGCUGAAAGUCAAAAUCUUGCUGGAUCUCCAUUUUCUAUAUGAAGACAGACCAUCUAUGCAGGGCCUCACAAUCCAUAUGACAUGUUGUGUUUUCAGAAAGAGGAGUCAGAAAAUGACCACAGGGAUAACUCUCAUGUGGCAGCCAAGCAUUCAUUUUAACAUCACAUUUUGAUCCUUCCAUGUCAGCUCUUCCUAUCAUUUGUGAAUUAGUAUUCAUCAAACAGUUGAUUGUUCACCCACUAAUAGGGAAUGUGAUCUGGGUGUGGACCAUCGUGUGACAGGUUAGUUUCACCCUAGUGAGAUUGUGUUAUUGCAAUAGCAAUCCAUGCUCAGACAUUUGGUGUAUGUGCUUGACUGAGCAGCCAAUGGAGUGAAGCUGCCAUCUGUGGGAUUAUGAAUGAAUGCCUCUAAGUCAGAAUCCCCCUAAACUGUAAUGGUAAUGCAGAACUGUGGAUUCUUGGUUCACCUAGGAUAGCCAGCCUCUGGGCUGGUGCAUAGAGCUGCUUGCCUCAGAACUCGAGUGUGAACAGAAGGGGGCCACCUCUCUUACACGUAGUGCACCACGUGUUCUCAUUCUGGGUAAGGGUUUCGUGAAUAACAGAGCCAAAGUUUUUUCAAAGUGCUGCUGCAGUGACAGUGCUGCAGAGGUCUCCAUUGUUCCUACUCCUGCU